rnacentral:lncRNA from 1 species
CAUCUAAAAUCUAUCCAUGGACCCCUUUGGGAUUUAUGGGCCCUAAGGGAAGUAUCCUUGCUUUAGCUAGCUAAAUGGUAUCUUGAACCAAAUUCUCACUUGGUAGCCAGUUUUCUGGUGAUGAGCCUCCCCAGAAUAAGCCAAGUUGUUCCUCAGACAAAAGACACGUAGUCCAUUGGAGCCUAGACUGGAAACUCUUCCAGCGUGGCAGGUCUUGGCAGAACUCAUACUAGGUUGGCAGAGCCCUUGAAAAUCCAGGUUAUCUCACCUGGGGAUGAGACAGCACUUUGAGUAACAUCACAUCAAUAAUCCCAGAAGCAUCACGGCUGUGGGAUGAUGCAGUAAUGAGAUCUCCAGUAAGACCACGCCGAACCACAGGUGGUGGAGCUGCUAGGGCUGCUUGGGUGUUGGCUAAUUUUAGGAUUUAUUUUAAGGAGGAAACAAAAAGAACUACAUCAAGAGCAGACUCCUGCUGAACAGAAUCAGAUAGGGUUUGGAAAACAGAGGCCAUUAUUAGGACACAAUGUAAUGGAGGAGAAGACUUGGCAGAACAGAGGGAAAAAAUGGAAACAGUUUUAUCAUUCUUCCUACACAGCUGAAGGCUGGACAGGAAAACCUGAGAAUGAUGGUUUUUAAGUACCUGAUGACUAGGGACAUCUAGAAACAUGCCAGGAUCCUCGUCAGUGCAAUGACACUCAUAAGAAAUUACCAGGGAGAGAUGCUUGGCUGAGUAAUUCUGACUCUCAGCCUGGACUGUGGCAGGGGAAUGAUUAAGGAUGAAUGACCAGCACUUUGGCUUCCUGAUCUGGACUUUGGAUUCUGGUGAAGACUCAGCUUCCUACAUUGGAGACUUGAGCUGAAGAGGAAUGCUUACUUGGAUGAGAUUCUUGCCUCCUUGUUGUGAGAGACUGCCCUUUGUGGCUCAGCCUUUUCAGCGUUGGUUUUUGGUUGUUGGAACACUUGACUGGAGACACUCUUGUGAACUGAUCUUCCUGGCCUCAGACCUGGCACUCUAUCCACUGUAUCACUGACCUACAGAAAGGACUGGAGGGCAAGAUUCCAGAAAAGACAGGAAGGAGGACAUGGAAUCAGAGGCACGAGGAAAAGGAAGACUUCCUGGAAAAGGGUAAGACUUGGGUUUGGCUUUAAGGGAUAGGUUGGAAUUUUCUAGAGGUUGAGACAUGGAGUGAGGGGUUGAAAAGAUACAUAGCAUGAGUAAAGGUUCUCAGGGGAAAAUGGGCAAGCCAAGUUCAGGGGGGCCACGACUUUCACAGGAGCAAAAGCUUCGUUCAAAGGAAUAAUUAGCAAGAUGAGUUAGGAAGAGAAGUGUUGGGUCUUCCUUCCAUUCCCGUCUUUCUUCAAUGCCAUCCUUUCUUCUCACUAACUAUUCAAUGUCAAUGCAGAAGAAAAACACAUGCUCCAUCACGUGGUUCAGUGGGGAUAGGAUUAGGGUUUUGAUGGUACAGGAUUGCUCUACUGCAAAUAUGAAUAACAUGGAAAUGGGUUUUGAACAGUGAUACACGGAUAGCCCAGUGAAACUGCUUGUCACCUCUGGGGGGGAGGGGGGAGAAAGAACAUGAAUUGUGGAAUCAUGGGAAAAUAUUCUAAAUUUUUUAAAAAUGAAAGAAAAAAAAAAGUCUAUCCAUCCAUCAAAGCCCAACUGAAAUCCUAGUCUCAUGCGUCCCAUUCUACAUUAACCCUGAAAGGUGCCAUCUCCAUUAGAUAGGGCAGUCUUGCCUUAGAAAUACUCGGUGCUAUUCCUUAGCCAGCCAGAGAAAUUCCUAACUGUGGAAGGUCAGGAAUUCUCUCCUCAGUUCCUUGGUCUGUUAGGAAACUAAAGACCCAAAUGCAAAUUCUUGUGCUCUAUGGAAUAAUGACAAGCACUCAACCCAGGACAAGAAUGAGGCAUUAAUUACCAAAUGAGGAACCAGAGUAGAGUUCACUCCCAGAUUUUUGAAACAUCAGGCUGAGUAUACAGAGCUUCACAGAGGGGAAAUUGCAUGUCACCAGCCCUGCCCAGAAGGACUUAAA